UACGAAGGGGGCUAGCGUUGCUCGGAAUCACUGGGCGUAAAGGGUGCGUAGGCGGGUCUUUAAGUCAGGGGUGAAAUCCUGGAGCUCAACUCCAGAACUGCCUUUGAUACUGAGGAUCUUGAGUUCGGGAGAGGUGAGUGGAACUGCGAGUGUAGAGGUGAAAUUCGUAGAUAUUGGGAAGAACACCGGUGGCGAAGGCGGCGCUCUGGACCGAGACUGACGCUGAGGCGCGAAAGCGUGGGGAGCAAACAG
rnacentral:rRNA from 1 species